rnacentral:rRNA from 1 species
UACGUAGGGGGCUAGCGUUGUCCGGAAUCAUUGGGCGUAAAGCGCGCGUAGGCGGCCAGAUAAGUCCGGUGUGAAAGUCACAGGCUCAACCUGUGAAUGCCGCUGGAAACUGUCUGGCUUGAGUCCGGAAGGGGCGAGUGGAAUUCCUGGUGUAGCGGUGAAAUGCGCAGAUAUCAGGAGGAACACCAAUGGCGAAGGCAGCUCGCUGGAACGGUACUGACGCUGAUGCGCGAAAGCCAGGGGAGCAAACGGG